rnacentral:rRNA from 1 species
GACAGAGGGUGCAAACGUUGCUCGGAAUUACUGGGCGUAAAGCGCGUGUAGGCGGAUUGGCAAGUCUGAUGUGAAAUCCCUGGGCUCAACCCAGGAACUGCACCGGAAACUGCCAGUCUUGAGUAGUGGAGAGGGAAGUGGAAUUCCUGGUGUAGAGGUGAAAUUCGUAGAUAUCAGGAGGAACACCGGUGGCGAAGGCGGCUUCCUGGACACUUACUGACGCUGAGACGCGAAAGCGUGGGGAGCGAACAGG